AUGAGGACGGUCGCCGCAGAAUUCGACUCUGGCGACCGAACGUGCUUCGGCCAUCCCGAGUGCAUGAAGAAGAGCAAGCUCGAGGUGUCGCCUUACCUUCACAGCGAUCGCCUCACAAUUGAGUGUGCCAUCACUAUCUGCACGGAAGCGCCCAAAUCGUUUGCUGAGGUGCCGUUGCCGCCAUCCGACAUCACGGAUCACCUCAGGAAGUUGUGGCAACGGAAAGAGGGAAGCGAUGUCACCUUCGAGGUUCAAGGGGAGGCUUUUCCUGCGCACAAGAUAGUGCUCGCGAUGCGGUCGCCGGUGUUUAAGGAAGAGUUGUACGGUGCCUUGAGGGAAAAUGAUAUGGGUUGUGUUAUCAUCGGCGACAUGCAACCUCUAGUCUUCGAGGCCCUGCUCCAUUUUAUAUACACCGAUUCGUUGCCCACCAUGGAUGAUCUUUACCAAUAUCAAGAUGAGUACAAAGAGAUUAUUGGACAUUUGCUUGUAGCCGCGGAUCGGUAUGCCAUGGAAAGACUGAAGAUCAUAUGUGAAAGCAUCCUUUGCAAGAACAUAGAUGUGAAGACCGUGGUGACUACACUGGUUUUGGCUGAUCAGCAUCACUACAACAAGUUGACUGAUGCUUGCAUUGAAUUUAUUGCCUCUUUGGGUAAAGUGGAUGAUAUAAUAGCAAGCCAUGGAUAUGCUGAGCUCAAAAGAACCUGUCCUUUGGCUUUACUGGAACUGUGGAAGAAGCUUCGGUGA
rnacentral:rRNA from 1 species